UUUGAGUGGUCAGAAGACUAGAAAAGCGCUAUACAAGUACAGGCCAUUUACCAUUUACCAUUUACAAAACAUUAAACUCAGUGGGUUAGAAGUUUAAGACCUGAAGCUGCUUUAAUGCCGUUGGCUGCUUUGGUAAAGUGAAAGAAACCUGUAAACGUUCAGCAGCUUGAUCCUCUCCUGCUGGGAGAGUGAACCUCAUGUUCAACCGGGUAGCGGGGAGGAGAUCCACGGUGGGGGAAGAGGACUGCGCUGAAAUGAGGAACUCAGGAAGAACUUGGAAUGAUGUUCAGUGUACCGACUUUCUGCAUUGGAUCAUUUCAAGGCUCAAGGGUUCAAGGAUGUUUGCUGUCAGUGUGCAACAAUGAAAUGAAGUUGUAGCCUGUUUGUAACAACACGAGACUAAUGACACAAAACAAAGAUGAACUUCAGCGCUUGUGUGUGAGAGGUGUGACUUUCUCUUGUUGGUGUAAGUUGAUGCUGCAGCUGUGACCCUGUAGGAUAUAGAGGGUAUCUUAUCAACAGAGAUGGAGGAUUUAUAUGUUGAAUAUGAUGAACCUGUCAACUCAAACCCAAGGACCAAUCAGACAGGUGAGAGUGUGAACUGACGUGUAGUUACAUAAAGUGUGUUUAUUGCAUUGAUCCCUGUGUUCACUGGUCUGAACUGUGAGAGCAGAGAACAGACUUCAUUGCAGCUGCUGUAUUUUAUGUACAUAUGUGGCUUUUCACACCUCUGAAAAGUGAAACUUCCUCAAAAGUCACACUAUUCAUGAGCUGAAAGCAACGUCACGUUCAUCAUUUGACAGCUGGUUGUCUUCUCCUGACCAGUGUGCAGUGGGGUCUUCGUGAGUCUAUGUCCCAGCAUCCUAAAGAACAGACCUCAUGUGGCUGUCUCUGUGGGGCUGUGUAUUCUGCUGGUUGUAAUCGUCUGUCUCUGUGUCCUCGGUGAGUCUGAUCUUCAUCCAACCUGAGAUUUGAGAGAGUUCAGGUUGCUGGUUGUCAUGACAACAUUUGCUCAGUAUCUUUAUUAUUUCCUGUGAAAAGAUGAUGGGAUGUUUCUGUAAUAUAGAACACAACAGUGAUGUAUUGUAUCAUGUCUUCAUGACUCAAUGCAUGCAUCAGCUUAUAGAGUCUCCUCCACCAAAGACAACCUGGCGGAGCGUCUUCAGGUCAGUGGAGACAAGCUGUCCUCAGUGUCUGCAGAGAGAGACCAGCUGAAGGACAACUUCACUGCACAGAGAAUUCCUUUCAAACUUCACCACAAGUCGUAGUUGGAUUGGUUUGAGUGACAAAGACAUCGAGGGAACCUGGAAAUGGAUUGAUGGAACUCCACUGACUGCAGCGUACUGGUACAGUGACGCCAAUGUAGUUGAGCCUAAUAACGGGGGAGAAGGUUCAACCGUGGAGGAGGACUGCGCUGAGAUGAACCCUGACCUGAAGACACAAAACAGCUGGAAUGAUGUGCCGUGUAACACUGCUUUGCGAUGGAUCUGUGAGAAACUGGCUUGAUAAUUGAAACAUAUCAUCUGUAAAGUGUGAUUGUGUUUUGGUAAAAGGGCUUUAAUGGUGUUGAUGUAAGUUGCAUUUAGAGACAGAAGGAGACCAUGUAAGUCAGGUAUCAAGUUCUUAGUAUGAAUUGAUUUUUAUAGUUUGACAUUGAAGUCGUUUUAUUGGGAAAUGAACAUCUUUACUGUGUGUGUGUGUGUGUGUGUGUGUGUGUGUGUGUGUGUGUG